GUGGAGGUGGCCUAGCGGCAUGGCGUGAGAUUGCAAAAAUAGACGACCUUAAGAUCCCGGGUUCGAGUCCCGGCCACCACU
rnacentral:tRNA from 2 species